UUUGAGUUUAAUUUUUCACUAUUAUAUUAUUCAAACUCCCAUCAAUCUCCUUAUUUGUAAGAUUGGCAAAUCAGUAUAAUUUUUUAUUUGUUAGAUCGGCAAACCGCUUCAACUCGAACUUGAUUUUUACCAUAGUGCUGGUCGAUGUAAACACAUUGUCCAUAACUAUCUCGAACCUCUUAUCCUUUUCCUUCAAAAAAAAUUACACAUUUCUCCAUCUAUCUUGAAUUCUGGAUGCUAUUAAAGUCCACUUGGAUUCAGACUUAUCAAUGCUAUUAAAGUCCACUUGGAUUUAGACGACCACUUGGAUUCAGACGAUGAAUUUGGCGGCAUAUAGAAAAUUCUCAAUGCUAUUAAAAUUCACCUGGAUUUCCACUUGGAUUCAGACUUAUCAAUGCUAUUAAAGUCCACUGGAUUUAAACCACCACUUGGAUUCAGAUGAUGAAAUUGGCAGCAUAUAGAAGAUGAUGAAGUUGGCAGCAUAUAGAGACGAGCGUUUGGCGUUGACUCAUAGAAAAGGGAGUUUAGGCUUGUUUCAAACCACCCAACUUAUAAAUCUAUAAAAUACUAAAAAAAUAUAUAUUAAAAAAUUUAUUUUUUGAUUUGAAAAUAAUCAUCUAAUUAUUUCUAAUAAUUUUUAGAUGGAUUCCAAAAACUCAAAUAAAAAAUCUUCCAAAAUAGCAUUUUUUUCCUCAGAGAAUUAAUAUACAAUAUGAUCCUAUUGAAUCAUUUCUCUUCAUGCCCUUGGAAUUAAGAGAAUCUAUUCUAAACAUUCUUAGAUAUUCCUUCUACCAUUCAAUAAAAAAAGAAUGACAAAUUUUAUGGAGGGUGGAUGUUUAGUUUUAUAUCUUAUAUAUGAGAAAGGGAUACAAAAAAAAGGACGGAAAAGAAUUGAUUUUGGGCUUCAUGGAGGACCAUCCCAACGCUCUUCUUGAUUCGUCCUUCUCUUUAGGGUUUUUUUUUGCCAGGUAUUCUUUUUGCGAGGUUAAUAUUUUUUUCUUAUUUUUCUUUGGCCUUACGUGGCUCUUAAUUUAUUUUGUUUCAUUUGUUUUUAAAUUUUUAGUUGUGAUAGUUUUUUUUUUUUACUCUAACCUUUUGUGGAUUUUAAUUUAUUCUUUUUUUUUUUUUUUUUCAUUUGCAGUUUAUAGCGGAGAACCAGAGAAUUCGUUGCUCUUUUCACAUACGUGCGUGCCGUAUACCUAUUUCCCAUUAUUAUGUAAGGUAGCUGAAGGCUUUCAAACCUCAGCACGUGUAGGUUCAGAUUUUGAAAUGUGUUUUCACAUUUUUUUUUUUCUUAUAAAAAAAAAGUACUCAUUAAAAAUAAAGUUAUAUUAUUUGUAAUAAAUAUUUGAUUACUAAAAUAAAUUUUCUAAUUUAGGAUAUAAAAAUUUGAAAUCAAGAUUUUAUUUUUCAAAAUAUUUGGACAAAUCUGAAAUUUUGAAAUUAUUUUUUAAAUUUUUGAUAUUCAAAACUAAAAUUAAGAAUUAUCUUUUCAGAAAAUACAUUAAUUCUUAAUUUCAGAAUUUAAAUUUUUAAAAAAUAGAAAUUAUGUUUUUUUAUAAUUUUUGGAUAAUGAAAAUAUUAAAUUAAUACUCAAUACAAUUUUUAAAAUAACACAAUUCCUACUUUCAUAUUUUUACAACUUUGAUAUUUUAAUUUUAGACUUUUGAAUAAAAACUAACACAAUUCCUACUUUCAUAUUUUCAACUGAAUUAAAAAAAAAAAAAAGAAGAGCUGGCUUGUUUUGAAUGAAUAUUUGAUUAGUAAAAAAUAAUUAGAAUUAAUUUUUUCUAUCCAAAAAUUAAUUUUUGUCUAUCCAAAAAAUUGGAUAUUUAAAAUCCGAAAAAUCCAAAGUCAACGUUUUUCCUAAUUUCAGGGUAUUGAAAAUUUGUAAGGUUUCCUCUAAGUUUUGGAGGUUGAAAAUCUGAAAUUAAGAAUCUAUUUAACAUAAUUCUUAAUUUCGGAUUUUUAAUUAAAAUUAGCACAAUUAUUGCUUUCAUAUUUUCAAUUUUUUUAUUAAAAUUGGAAAUAAUUUUUUCUAUCCAAAAAAAAUUCAAAAUCUGAAAUAACAAAAAUUAUGAUGUUCCUAAUUUCAGGAUAUUGAAAAUUUGAAAUUAACAUUUUAUUUUAUAAAAACAGUUUCAGAGAAAUCUGAAUAUCCAAAGAUAAUUUAAUUUUCAGAAAUUGAAAUUCCCAAAUUAAGAAACAUUUAUUUUAAGAGGAUAAGUUAAUUAUUAGUUUUUUAUUUUUUACUUUCAAAAAUGAGAACUUAAGUUUUUUAAAUUUUUGCAUACUAAUUAAUUUAUUCUAAAAAUUGCAUAAUUCUUUAAUAUAGGUUUUCAAAUAAAAAUUUACAAAGUUCUUACUUUUGAUUUCUUUAUGUACUGAUGUUUGCUCUAAGUUGGUUUAGAACUUCAUUGUAUUUUUUACUUGAUGUGCAUUAUAUGUUUGAUGGAAUGCAGUGAAAUGUAUUCUUGAGAUUUAUUUAUUUAUGUUAUUUUGAUUACUGAAUAUUUUAAAAAAUAGAUUAGGAAUUAAUGAUGGAUUUUUUUUACCUAACAAAGUAGGAGUAGGUACAUAAAAUGUAAUUAUCUAUAUAUCAGGUAUACGCAUAGGUACAUAAAAUGUAAUUAUCUAUAUAUCAAGUGUACGCAUAAACAUCUACGUAAAAACUGGUUUUAAUAUACUAGUUAAAAAACAUUGAAUUUAUGAAACCCACUAGUUUUAUAUUUUUCAAAAUUUUAAAAGUUUUUAACUUACAAAAGCUAAAAAAUGUAUAUAAAGCCUCACAAAUAAACUUUUUCUUUUUUCUUUGUUAUUAAUUUUAUUUUAUGUACUAAUGUUGGUUUAAUUUUAUUAACCAUGUAAUAACAAAGUGACAGUAUGGUUAAUCAAUAGAUUUGAUUACUUGUUUCAAUUUGAUUUAGAACUUCUUUAUAUAUAUUUAUUAAAGUUAUUUUGAUUACUCAAUCUUUUGAAGAAAAAAAAAAAAAAGGAUUAAAGAAGUGAUAAAUUACUUACAAUGAGAUAUACGUGAGGUGAAUUUU
rnacentral:lncRNA from 1 species